AAAACCUUAUAACGGUUUGGCUGUUGAGAAAAAACCUCGGGAGCCGAGAUGCUGGGCGCUGU
rnacentral:sRNA from 1 species